AUACGGAGGGUGCAAGCGUUAUCCGGAAUCAUUGGGUUUAAAGGGUCCGUAGGCGGGCUAUUAAGUCAGAGGUGAAAUCCCACAGCUUAACUGUGGAACUGCCUUUGAUACUGGUAGUCUUGAGUUAUAUGGAAGUAGAUAGAAUGUGUAGUGUAGCGGUGAAAUGCAUAGAUAUUAAACAGAAUACCGAUUGCGAAGGCAGUCUACUACGUAUAUACUGACGCUAAGGGACGAAAGCGUGGGGAGCGAACAGGAUUAGAAACCCUAGUAGUCC
rnacentral:rRNA from 1 species